CCUACGGGUGGCAGCAGUGGGGAAUAUUGGACAAUAGGCGAAAGCCUGAUCCAGCCAUGCCGCGUGUGUGAAGAAGGCCUUCGGGUUGUAAAGCACUUUCAGUGGGGAAGAAAGCCUUGGGGCUAAUACCCUCGAGGAAGGACAUCACCCACAGAAGAAGCACCGGCUAACUCCGUGCCAGCAGCCGCGGUAAUACGGAGGGUGCGAGCGUUAAUCGGAAUUACUGGGCGUAAAGCGCGCGUAGGCGGUCUGAUAAGCCGGUUGUGAAAGCCCCGGGCUCAACCUGGGAACGGCAUCCGGAACUGUCAGGCUAGAGUGCAGGAGAGGAAGGUAGAAUUCCCGGUGUAGCAGUGAAAUGCGUAGAGAUCGGGAGGAAUACCAGUGGCGAAGGCGGCCUUCUGGACUGACACUGACGCUGAGGUGCGAAAGCGUGGGUAGCAAACAGGAUUAGAUACCCCGGUAGUC
rnacentral:rRNA from 1 species